UCUUCAGCAACUCCUAUCCCUACCUUCUCGUGGUACUGGCCGGAGUAUGAGCAACCUUAGUGAAGAUCAGGAACAAACCCCGGUGGGAACUUCAGACAUAUGCUGACAGGGAAGA
rnacentral:ribozyme from 1 species